AAAGUAAGCAAGGGCAGACGGUGGAUGCCUUGGCUCUCGGAGGCGACGAAGGACGUGAUAAGCUGCGAAAAGCUCGGGGGAGGCGCAAAUAGCCGUUGAUCCCGGGAUAUCCGAAUGGGGCAACCCGGCAGGCUGAAGGCCUGUCAUCCCGUAAGGGAGGCGAACGUGGGGAACUGAAACAUCUAAGUACCCAUAGGAGGAGAAAAUAAACAAUGAUUCCGUAAGUAGUGGCGAGCGAACACGGAAGAGCCCAAACCCAUGUCGUCUAGGCGACACGGGGGUUGUAGGACCACGACGUGGCAAGAUAGAGUCAAGUGGAACGCCUUGGAAAAGGCGGUCAUAGAGGGUGAAAACCCCGUACACGACUGACGAUUGAAGCCUAGUGGUAUCCUGAGUAGCGCGGGGCACGAGAAAUCUUGCGUGAAACAGCGGGGCCCAUCCCGUAAGGCUAAAUACUCCCGAGAGACCGAUAGCGAACCAGUACCGUGAGGGAAAGGUGAAAAGAACCCCGAGCAGGGGAGUGAAAUAGACCCUGAACCCGUCUGCCUACAAGCGGUCGGAGCAUAGCAAUAUGUGACGGCGUGCCUUUUGCAUAAUGAACCUACGAGUUACCUUCCCCGGCAAGGUUAAGUACCUAAGGUACGGAGCCGAAGCGAAAGCGAGUCUGAAGAGGGCGGCCAGUCGGGGGGGGUAGACGCGAAACCGAGUGAUCUACCCUUGGCCAGGUUGAAGGUUGGGUAACACCAACUGGAGGACCGGAUGGGUAAGCGUUGAAAAGCUUUCCAAUGAGCUGAGGGUAGGGGUGAAAGGCUAAUCAAACUCGGAGAUAGCUCGUACUCCCCGAAAUGCAUUUAGGUGCAGCCUCUUUAUAGUAUAUCGUGAGGUAGAGCGACUGAUUGGAUGCGAGGGCUUCACCGCCUAUCAAGUCCAGAUAAACUCCGAAUGCGCGAUAUAUAUUUAAAGGGAGUGAGGGCGCGGGUGCUAAGGUCCGUGUCCGAGAGGAGAAGAAUCCAGACCACCGGCUAAGGCCCCCAAAUGAUCGUUGAGUUGAACUAACGAGGUCGGAUCGCAGAGACAGCUAGGAUGUUGGCUUGGAAGCAGCCAUUCAUUUAAAGAGUGCGUAACAGCUCACUAGUCGAGCGAUCUGGCGUGGAUAAUAAUCGGGCAUAAACGAUCUGCCGAAGCCGUGGAUGUCGUAAGACAUGGUAGGGGAGCAUUCCAUGCGGCGUCGAAGAUGAGGGAUGACCCUUGUUGGAGCGCAUGGAAAAGCAAAUGUAGGUAUGAGUAACGAUAAGGGGGGCGAGAAACCCCCCCGCCGAAAGACCAAGGUUUCCUGAUCAACGCUAAUCGGAUCAGGGUGAGUCGGGACCUAAGGCAAAGCCGAACGGCGACGCCGAUGGAAGAAUGGGUUAAUAUUCCCAUACUGCCUCAUGGAGUGACGUGGAGACGGAGAAGUGACAGUCCUGCCGGCUGACGGAAUAGCCGGUUGAAGGGUGUAGAUAUUGAUUCCCGUAGGCAAAUCCGCGGGGAGAGUCGAACCUGACAGUAUACCGAGUACUUGUACGAGGUAAUAUGGACGUAACCAUGCUCCCAAGAAAAUCCGCUAAACUUAUCCAUGCGGCACCCGUACCGUAAACGGACACACGUGGUCGGGUUGAGAAUACUGAGGCGCUCGAGUGAUUCACGGUUAAGGAACUAGGCAAAUUGACCCUGUAACUUCGGGAUAAAGGGUCCUCGUCGUAAGGCGAGGCGCAGAGAAUAGGUCCAGGCAACUGUUUAACAAAAACACAUGGCUAUGCUAAAUGGAAACAUGACGUAUAUAGCCUGACACCUGCCCGGUGCUGGAAGGUUAAGAGGAGAUGUCAUCGCAAGAGAAGCGUUGAAUUGAAGCCCCAGUAAACGGCGGCCGUAACUAUAACGGUCCUAAGGUAGCGAAAUUCCUUGUCGGGUAAGUUCCGACCUGCACGAAUGGUGUAAUGAUCUGGACACUGUCUCAACCGUGAGCUCGGUGAAAUUGUAGUAUCGGUGAAGAUGCCGAUUACCCGCGAUGGGACGAAAAGACCCCGUGAACCUUUACUAUAGCUUUACAUUGAAUUUGGGCAGACGAUGUGUAGGAUAGGCCGGAGGCUUUGAAGGGGGUACGCCAGUAUCCUUGGAGCCGCCGUUGAAAUACGGCCCUUCGGUUGUUUGAGUUCUAACUCCUAGGCAGGAGGACACUGUAUGGUGGGUAGUUUGACUGGGGUGGUCGCCUCCAAAAGCGUAACGGAGGCUUCUAAAGGUGCCCUCAGACCGAUUGGUAACCGGUCGUAGAGUGUAAUGGCAUAAGGGCGCUUGACUGGGAGAGAUACAACUCGAUCAGGUAGGAAACUAGAGCAUAGUGAUCCGGUGGUUCCGCAUGGAAGGGCCAUCGCUCAAAGGAUAAAAGGUACUCCGGGGAUAACAGGCUGAUCAUUCCCAAGAGCUCAUAUCGACGGAAUGGUUUGGCACCUCGAUGUCGGCUCGUCACAUCCUGGGGCUGGAGAAGGUCCCAAGGGUUGGGCUGUUCGCCCAUUAAAGUGGCACGCGAGCUGGGUUCAGAACGUCGUGAGACAGUUCGGUCUCUAUCUAUCGUGGGCGCAGGAGAUUUGAGGGGCUCUGACACUAGUACGAGAGGACCGUGUUGGACGUACCACUGGUUUACCGGUUGUCCCGCCAGGGGCACCGCCGGGUAUCUAAGUACGGAUCGGAUAAGUGCUGAAAGCAUCUAAGUACGAAGCCGGCCUCAAGAUUAGAUCUCCCUGAAGGGUGGUUAUAGACGAUGACCUUGAUAGGCCACAGGUGUAAGGGCGGCGACGUCCGAGCCGAGUGGUACUAAUAGCCCGGGACUUUCCUCA
rnacentral:rRNA from 2 species